CCUACGGGGAGCUGCAGUAGGGAAUCUUUCACAAUGGGCGAAAGCCUGAUGGAGCAACGCCGCGUGCAGGAUGAAGGCCUUCGGGUUGUAAACUGCUUUUAUAAGCGAGAAAUAUGAUGGUAACUUAUGAAUAAGGAUCGGCUAACUACGUGCCAGCAGCCGCGGUCAUACGUAGGAUCCGAGCAUUAUCCGGAGUGACUGGGUGUAAAGAGUUGCGUAGGUGGCAUAAUAAGUAGCUAGUGAAAUCUGGUGGCUCUACCAUUCAGACUAUUAGCUAAACUGUUAAGCUCGAGACCGUUAGGGGUAACUGGAAUUUCUAGUGUAGGAGUGAAAUCCGUAGAUAUUAGAAGGAACACCAAUAGCGUAGGCAGGUUGCUGGGACGGUUCUGACACUAAGGCACGAAAGCGUAGGGAGCAAACGGGAUUAGAUACCCCAGUAGUC
rnacentral:rRNA from 1 species